UGGCUUGUGGCAGCCAAGCGUUCA
rnacentral:ncRNA from 2 species